rnacentral:tRNA from 1 species
GGUAAUAACUCAGUGGUAGAGCACUUGCAUAGUAUAUGCAAGGCCCUGGGUUUGAUCCCCAGCACUACCA